rnacentral:lncRNA from 1 species
AUUUAAAAUAUAAUUUUAAGAUUAAUUUGAAUGGAGGUACUAUACAUGGAGAAUAAUGUUUCUUCCAAAAUUCACAGAAUACAAAGAAAAAAACCCACAAUACCAGAUUUGGGAUACUUUCCUAUGCUUUGUUGGUCAGAGAGGUCUCAGAAGCAUCCAAAGCAAUAUGGAUUAUCAUCACUGCUUUUGAUUGGUUGCCCACAAGAACAUGAAGGUAGCUACAUGGUGGCAUCUCCCUGGAGGUUCCUUUCUCUGUGUUCCUAUUCCCUGCAUUUAUUCACCAACCAAUAAGAGAAAUGUUCACAGCAC